rnacentral:rRNA from 1 species
GGUUAAGCGACUAAGCGUACACGGUGGAUGCCCUGGCAGUCAGAGGCGAUGAAGGACGUGCUAAUCUGCGAUAAGCGUCGGUAAGGUGAUAUGAACCGUUAUAACCGGCGAUUUCCGAAUGGGGAAACCCAGUGUGUUUCGACACACUAUCAUUAACUGAAUCCAUAGGUUAAUGAGGCGAACCGGGGGAACUGAAACAUCUAAGUACCCCGAGGAAAAGAAAUCAACCGAGAUUCCCCCAGUAGCGGCGAGCGAACGGGGAGGAGCCCAGAGCCUGAAUCAGUGUGUGUGUUAGUGGAAGCGUCUGGAAAGGCGCGCGAUACAGGGUGACAGCCCCGUACACAAAAAUGCACAUGCUGUGAGCUCGAUGAGUAGGGCGGGACACGUGGUAUCCUGUCUGAAUAUGGGGGGACCAUCCUCCAAGGCUAAAUACUCCUGACUGACCGAUAGUGAACCAGUACCGUGAGGGAAAGGCGAAAAGAACCCCGGCGAGGGGAGUGAAAAAGAACCUGAAACCGUGUACGUACAAGCAGUGGGAGCACAGAGCAAUCUGUGUGACUGCGUACCUUUUGUAUAAUGGGUCAGCGACUUAUAUUCUGUAGCAAGGUUAACCGAAUAGGGGAGCCGAAGGGAAACCGAGUCUUAACUGGGCGUUAAGUUGCAGGGUAUAGACCCGAAACCCGGUGAUCUAGCCAUGGGCAGGUUGAAGGUUGGGUAACACUAACUGGAGGACCGAACCGACUAAUGUUGAAAAAUUAGCGGAUGACUUGUGGCUGGGGGUGAAAGGCCAAUCAAACCGGGAGAUAGCUGGUUCUCCCCGAAAGCUAUUUAGGUAGCGCCUCGUGAAUUCAUCUCCGGGGGUAGAGCACUGUUUCGGCAAGGGGGUCAUCCCGACUUACCAACCCGAUGCAAACUGCGAAUACCGGAGAAUGUUAUCACGGGAGACACACGGCGGGUGCUAACGUCCGUCGUGAAGAGGGAAACAACCCAGACCGCCAGCUAAGGUCCCAAAGUCAUGGUUAAGUGGGAAACGAUGUGGGAAGGCCCAGACAGCCAGGAUGUUGGCUUAGAAGCAGCCAUCAUUUAAAGAAAGCGUAAUAGCUCACUGGUCGAGUCGGCCUGCGCGGAAGAUGUAACGGGGCUAAACCAUGCACCGAAGCUGCGGCAGCGACACUGUGUGUUGUUGGGUAGGGGAGCGUUCUGUAAGCCUGUGAAGGUGUGCUGUGAGGCAUGCUGGAGGUAUCAGAAGUGCGAAUGCUGACAUAAGUAACGAUAAAGCGGGUGAAAAGCCCGCUCGCCGGAAGACCAAGGGUUCCUGUCCAACGUUAAUCGGGGCAGGGUGAGUCGACCCCUAAGGCGAGGCCGAAAGGCGUAGUCGAUGGGAAACAGGUUAAUAUUCCUGUACUUGGUGUUACUGCGAAGGGGGGACGGAGAAGGCUAUGUUGGCCGGGCGACGGUUGUCCCGGUUUAAGCGUGUAGGCUGGUUUUCCAGGCAAAUCCGGAAAAUCAAGGCUGAGGCGUGAUGACGAGGCACUACGGUGCUGAAGCAACAAAUGCCCUGCUUCCAGGAAAAGCCUCUAAGCAUCAGGUAACAUCAAAUCGUACCCCAAACCGACACAGGUGGUCAGGUAGAGAAUACCAAGGCGUUUGAGAGAACUCGGGUGAAGGAACUAGGCAAAAUGGUGCCGUAACUUCGGGAGAAGGCACGCUGAUAUGUAGGUGAAGUCCCUCGCGGAUGGAGCUGAAAUCAGUCGAAGAUACCAGCUGGCUGCAACUGUUUAUUAAAAACACAGCACUGUGCAAACACGAAAGUGGACGUAUACGGUGUGACGCCUGCCCGGUGCCGGAAGGUUAAUUGAUGGGGUCAGCGCAAGCGAAGCUCUUGAUCGAAGCCCCGGUAAACGGCGGCCGUAACUAUAACGGUCCUAAGGUAGCGAAAUUCCUUGUCGGGUAAGUUCCGACCUGCACGAAUGGCGUAAUGAUGGCCAGGCUGUCUCCACCCGAGACUCAGUGAAAUUGAACUCGCUGUGAAGAUGCAGUGUACCCGCGGCAAGACGGAAAGACCCCGUGAACCUUUACUAUAGCUUGACACUGAACAUUGAGCCUUGAUGUGUAGGAUAGGUGGGAGGCUUUGAAGUGUGGACGCCAGUCUGCAUGGAGCCGACCUUGAAAUACCACCCUUUAAUGUUUGAUGUUCUAACGUGGACCCGUGAUCCGGGUUGCGGACAGUGUCUGGUGGGUAGUUUGACUGGGGCGGUCUCCUCCUAAAGAGUAACGGAGGAGCACGAAGGUUGGCUAAUCCUGGUCGGACAUCAGGAGGUUAGUGCAAUGGCAUAAGCCAGCUUGACUGCGAGCGUGACGGCGCGAGCAGGUGCGAAAGCAGGUCAUAGUGAUCCGGUGGUUCUGAAUGGAAGGGCCAUCGCUCAACGGAUAAAAGGUACUCCGGGGAUAACAGGCUGAUACCGCCCAAGAGUUCAUAUCGACGGCGGUGUUUGGCACCUCGAUGUCGGCUCAUCACAUCCUGGGGCUGAAGUAGGUCCCAAGGGUAUGGCUGUUCGCCAUUUAAAGUGGUACGCGAGCUGGGUUUAGAACGUCGUGAGACAGUUCGGUCCCUAUCUGCCGUGGGCGCUGGAGAACUGAGGGGGGCUGCUCCUAGUACGAGAGGACCGGAGUGGACGCAUCACUGGUGUUCGGGUUGUCAUGCCAAUGGCACUGCCCGGUAGCUAAAUGCGGAAGAGAUAAGUGCUGAAAGCAUCUAAGCACGAAACUUGCCCCGAGAUGAGUUCUCCCUGACCCUUUAAGGGUCCUGAAGGAACGUUGAAGACGACGACGUUGAUAGGCCGGGUGUGUAAGCGCAGCGAUGCGUUGAGCUAACCGGUACUAAUGAACCGUGAGGCUUAACCUU